rnacentral:rRNA from 1 species
GAGUUUGAUCGUGGCUCAGAUUGAACGCUGGCGGCAGGCCUAACACAUGCAAGUCGAGCGGUAGAGAGAAGCUUGCUUCUCUUGAGAGGCGGCGGACGGGUGAGUAAUGCCUAGGAAUCUGCCUGGUAGUGGGGGAUAACGCUCGGAAACGGACGCUAAUACCGCAUACGUCCUACGGGAGAAAGCAGGGGACCUUCGGGCCUUGCGCUAUCAGAUGAGCCUAGGUCGGAUUAGCUAGUUGGUGAGGUAAUGGCUCACAAGGCGACGAUCCGUAACUGGUCUGAGAGGAUGAUCAGUCACACUGGAACUGAGACACGGUCCAGACUCCUACGGGAGGCAGCAGUGGGGAAUAUUGGACAAUGGGGCGAAAACGCCUGAUCCAGCC